CGUAGGUGGCAAGCGUUGUCCGGAUUUAUUGGGUUUAAAGGGUGCGUAGCGGUCUAUUAAGUCAGUGCUGAAAUACUCCAGCUUAACUGGAGGGGUGGCAUUGAUACUGAUGGACUUGAGUACAGAUGAGGUAGGCGGAAUUGACGGUGUAGCGGUGAAAUGCAUAGAUAUCGUCAAGAACACCGAUAGCGAAGGCAGCUUACUGGGCUGUAACUGACGCUGAUGCACGAAAGUGUGGGGAUCAAACAGGAUUAGAUACCCUGGUAGUCCACACUGUAAACGUUGAUUACUCGCUGUUUGCGAUACACAGCAAGCGGCUUAGCGAAAGCGAUAAGUAAUCCACCUGGGGAGUACGCCGGCAACGGUG
rnacentral:rRNA from 1 species